AUGGAUCUCAUGACUAACAUGAUAGAGCUAAAUAUAGAGGGAGUCUGGUGUCAGCAGUACAUAGGUAACCUACAAGGUCGACUACCUAACCUCCAGAGGCUACGGAUAACCAAACCAAGAUAUAAGUGGAAGCCAUCAGAGGAUUUUGAUAACUCUUUUGUAGAUAAGACAAGUAUGAAAAUACUCGACUUAUCAGGGAACAGUGAAAUGGAAAUUCUUCCAGCAAGCAUAUCGAAGGCAAGUAGCCUUCAGUUGCUUGUACUUGAUGGUUGCAAUGGACUGGAAAGCGUUGGCGGGCUUCCUUCCUCCCUUGAAUCCUUUAGCUUUAAUGGAUAUGGGCCAGCUUCUCAAUGGACACAAACUGUUGUGCUACCUCCGGAACAAUUCCGCCCGUCCACAAUUGAAGACUUUAACAUGGAUAUUAGAGUGUCUGAGAUCUCCUUAGCAGGCUGCACACAAUUGAAGAACCUGUUUUUGUGUUGGCUACCCAACCUUGUGGAAUUGGACCUCUCUGGAAUUGCAAUCAAGAUAUUUGACUUGAAUACUAUGGUGGUGCAAGUCCCGAAGCUCAAGAGAGUAUUUCUAAUUGGAUGCACGCGACUUCGUGCAAUAAUUCCGAUGCACGAGAGUGGCUCUGAGAUAAAACAAGAAUUGGAGUUAUUGUGCAUAGACACCCGAGUUGGAACAGUGUCUUCUCGGCCAUCCAUCAACAUGACCAAAUCCUUCAAGUUCGAAUUGCAUGUUGUUGCCGCGGAUGCGAGGCUUACUCGCUCUGUGAAGGGUCUCUUGUUGCCUUACGUACAAAAAGGCAUAAUGAAGGAUGUUUCUUAUAAUAUCCAUGUCACCUCCUCACCUGUGCACGAUGGAGUUGUUCAAUUCGAAGCAACCAGCAAGAAUAAAGUUGACCCCAGUGAAGGUGAUCAAGGGAGCUUGCAACAGCUUAUUCCAGCAGGCCCGUAUAGUGAUGUCCUUAGCAUGCUUGGCAAUCCCCAGAUGGAGGAUUUCCCGCAACCUCCGACGAAUACAAAGCGGGACCAUCAUAUAGAGAUUGCUAAAGGGAGCUGCUAUGUGGAGAGCGAACUGCUAGGAGAUCUAGGUUAUUUGGUGGGAACUAGUGCUGAAUCACUGCAUGUACACGACGUAUCGAUGCGUGCAAUUGCUCUUUAUGAGUUUUAUCAGUUUGCUCUUAAGUGGUGCUGCGUCGAGAGGUGCCCAGAGUUGGAUGUCGUCUUCCCUUCGGUAUCGACUGGAUUUAAUGUACUGGAGACCUUCUGGGCGUCGGAUCUCCUAACGGCCCGCUGGAUUUGGGGUAAAGCUACAUACAAGGGUUUCUUUUCCCACACCGCCAAUACCUUUCCAAAUUUACAGCACCUCCACCUGCGCUCCUGCCCUCGUCUCCAGUUUGUGGUCCCGCUGUAUGGCUUGUCCUUCCCCAGCUUGAAGACCCUCCACAUCAUCCACUGUGGUGACCUAGUGCAUGUCUUCGAGCUAAACAUGGAUUACCCAGAGAAAAUAACCGCCCUCAGCGCAAGAUUGCCGAAGCUGACCACCAUACACCUGCAUGACCUCCCGAAGCUUGAGAACAUAUGCGAGGUCAAGAUGGUGGCGCCGAUGCUCGAGAGCAUCAAGAUCAGAGGGUGCUGGAGCCUGCGCCGGCUUCCAUCCGUGGGCGCCCGUGGCCAAGGCGAGAAGAAGCCGGCGGUCGAGGUCGAGAAGGACGUGUGGAACACUAUGGAGUGGGACGACGACCACCGCCCCGACCACUUCGAGGCGCCAGUCCACUCCCGCUACUACAAGGAGAAGCUGCCCAGGGCCUCCGUUCUGAGGUGA
rnacentral:rRNA from 1 species